UGGCAGGAGAGAAAGUUCAAAAAGUCUUUGUUUCAAACAGACAGCCUUCUGUUUCAGGUCAGAAGAGCGAGGAAGAAGCUGCCAUCUUGGAAAUGUACCAUCUUUAUUAUGUAGGGCUUGCAAGAAGAGUGUUGAACUUCUCCGAGUAAAGAAUUGCUAUCAAAAGAACAGGCUAUCACACAGGACUAAAGAUAGAGAAAUAAAGGAUACACUUUGA